CAGUAGCCGCGUAAUACGGAGGGUGCAAGCGUUAUCCGGAUUUAUUGGGUUUAAAGGGUCCGUAGGCGGACUUAUAAGUCAGUGGUGAAAGCCUGUCGCUUAACGAUAGAACUGCCAUUGAUACUGUAAGUCUUGAGUAUAUUUGAGGUAGCUGGAAUAAGUAGUGUAGCGGUGAAAUGCAUAGAUAUUACUUAGAACACCAAUUGCGAAGGCAGGUUACCAAGAUAUAACUGACGCUGAGGGACGAAAGCGUGGGUAGCGAACAGGAUUAGAUACCCCCGUAGUCCCUGUCUCUUAUACA
rnacentral:rRNA from 1 species